AUUGAACGCUGGCGGCAUGCCUUACACAUGCAAGUCGAACGGCAGCACGGGUGCUUGCACCUGGUGGCGAGUGGCGAACGGGUGAGUAAUACAUCGGAACGUACCUUAUCGUGGGGGAUAACGCAGCGAAAGCUGUGCUAAUACCGCAUACGCCCUGAGGGGGAAAGCGGGGGAUCGCAAGACCUCGCGCGAUUAGAGCGGCCGAUGCCUGAUUAGCUAGUUGGUGGGGUAAAAGCCCACCAAGGCGACGAUCAGUAGCUGGUCUGAGAGGACGAUCAGCCACACUGGGACUGAGACACGGCCCAGACUCCUACGGGAGGCAGCAGUGGGGAAUUUUGGACAAUGGGGGCAACCCUGAUCCAGCAAUGCCGCGUGAGUGAAGAAGGCCUUCGGGUUGUAAAGCUCUUUUGUCAGGGAAGAAACACCGGCUCUAACACAGUCCGGGAAUGACGGUACCUGAAGAAUAAGCACCUACAAACUACGUGCCAGCCGCCGCCGUAA
rnacentral:rRNA from 1 species